rnacentral:rRNA from 1 species
GACGAACGCUGGCGGCGUGCUUAACACAUGCAAGUCGAACGGAAAGGCCCUGCUUUUGUGGGGUGCUCGAGUGGCGAUCGGGUGAGUAACACGUGAGUAACCUGCCCUUGACUUUGGGAUAACUUCAGGAAACUGGGGCUAAUACCGGAUAGGAGCUCCUGCUGCAUGGUGGGGGUUGGAAAGUUUCGGCGGUUGGGGAUGGACUCGCGGCUUAUCAGCUUGUUGGUGGGGUAGUGGCUUACCAAGGCUUUGACGGGUAGCCGGCCUGAGAGGGUGACCGGCCACAUUGGGACUGAGAUACGGCCCAGACUCCUACGGGAGGCAGCAGUGGGGAAUAUUGCACAAUGGGCGGAAGCCUGAGGCAGCAACGCCGCGUGCGGGAUGACGGCCUUCGGGUUGUAAACCGCUUUCGCCUGUGACGAAGCGUGAGUGACGGUAAUGGGUAAAGAAGCACCGGCUAACUACGU